rnacentral:rRNA from 1 species
UACUUUGGUGGCGACCGGCGCACGGGUGCGUAACGCGUAUGCAACCUACCUUUAACAGGGGCAUAACACUGAGAAAUUGGUACUAAUUCCCCAUAACAUUCGAGAAGGCAUCUUCUUGGGUUAAAAACUCCGGUGGUUAAAGAUGGGCAUGCGUUGUAUUAGCUAGUUGGUGAGGUAACGGCUCACCAAGGCAACGAUACAUAGGGGGACUGAGAGGUUAACCCCCCACAUUGGUACUGAGACACGGACCAAACUCCUACGGAAGGCAGCAG